rnacentral:rRNA from 1 species
UUCGGGCCUCUCGCGUCAGGAUAUGCCUAGGUGGGAUUAGCUAGUUGGUGAGGUAAGGGCUCACCAAGGCGACGAUCCCUAGCUGGUCUGAGAGGAUGAUCAGCCACACUGGAACUGAGACACGGUCCAGACUCCUACGGGAGGCAGCAGUGGGGAAUAUUGCACAAUGGGCGCAAGCCUGAUGCAGCCAUGCCGCGUGUGUGAAGAAGGCCUUCGGGUUGUAAAGCACUUUCAGUCGUGAGGAAGGUAGUGUAGUUAAUAGCUGCAUUAUUUGACGUUAGCGACAGAAGAAGCACCGGCUAACUCCGUGCCAGCAGCCGCGGUAAUACGGAGGGUGCGAGCGUUAAUCGGAAUUACUGGGCGUAAAGCGCAUGCAGGUGGUUUGUUAAGUCAGAUGUGAAAGCCCGGGGCUCAACCUCGGAAUAGCAUUUGAAACUGGCAGACUAGAGUACUGUAGAGGGGGGUAGAAUUUCAGGUGUAGCGGUGAAAUGCGUAGAGAUCUGAAGGAAUACCGGUGGCGAAGGCGGCCCCCUGGACAGAUACUGACACUCAGAUGCGAAAGCGUGGGGAGCAAACAGGAUUAGAUACCCUGGUAGUCCACGCCGUAAACGAUGUCUACUUGGAGGUUGUGGCCUUGAGCCGUGGCUUUCGGAGCUAACGCGUUAAGUAGACCGCCUGGGGAGUACGGUCGCAAGAUUAAAACUCAAAUGAAUUGACGGGGGCCCGCACAAGCGGUGGAGCAUGUGGUUUAAUUCGAUGCAACGCGAAGAACCUUACCUACUCUUGACAUCCAGAGAACUUUCCAGAGAUGGAUUGGUGCCUUCGGGAACUCUGAGACAGGUGCUGCAUGGCUGUCGUCAGCUCGUGUUGUGAAAUGUUGGGUUAAGUCCCGCAACGAGCGCAACCCUUAUCCUUGUUUGCCAGCGAGUAAUGUCGGGAACUCCAGGGAGACUGCCGGUGAUAAACCGGAGGAAGGUGGGGACGACGUCAAGUCAUCAUGGCCCUUACGAGUAGGGCUACACACGUGCUACAAUGGCGCAUACAGAGGGCGGCCAACUUGCGAAAGUGAGCGAAUCCCAAAAAGUGCGUCGUAGUCCGGAUUGGAGUCUGCAACUCGACUCCAUGAAGUCGGAAUCGCUAGUAAUCGUGGAUCAGAAUGCCACGGUGAAUACGUUCCCGGGCCUUGUACACACCGCCCGUCACACCAUGGGGAGUGGGCUGCAAAAGAAGUAGGUAGUUUAACCUUCGGGGGGGACGCUUACCACUUUUGUGGUUCAUGACUGGGGUGA